CUCUACAGUAAGGGGCUGUCCAGCCUCCUAAAGGAACCGGCCCGGCUGUGUGUGGAGGAAAAGAACCCCUGCCACGUGGUUAGAAAAGCACCUUAUCGCGCCCUGAGUCAGCAGUUCCUACAGCCCGAGGGGUGGGCAGCCCCACCCCGCCCCUGCUCACUCUAAUUGGGGGUUCGCCCUGGGCGCGGGUCUCACUGGGAUGAAGUGUGGGUGUAUAGAUGUCAGCUGAUGGGAGAGGGAGCGAGGCCCAGGGCAUCAGGGGUGGUCCCCACACUGGGAUCUCCAGGAUCGAGCCGGGACGUCGAGGAAUGCUGGGCAGGCCAGCAUGGGGACAGGGUGCGGGGCCGNNNNNNNNNNNNNNNNNNNNNNNNNNNNNNNNNNNNNNNNNNNNNNNNNNNNNNCCCCGGCCCAUGUGCAGGAGGAGAAUGAGCUUCUGCAGGAGGAGCUGGACCGGCUGGAGGACCUGCUGGCCCAGGCGGGCGCCGAGCGAGACGAGCUGGCCAGCAGGUACCAAGCGGCCAGCCAGCGGCUGCAGGCCCGGCUGGAGACCACGGAGGCCCGGCUGCGGAGGUCGGAGCUGGAGCACAGUGUGGACCUGGAGGAGGCCCUGGGCCGGCUGGAGGCUGCCGAGCAGAGGUGAGGCCGGCAGGUGCGGUGGGCAGGGCUGCAGGGGGCUCGGCCAGCACCCCAAGAGGCAGCAGACCCCACUGCGGCUGCUCUUCCCCAUUUGCCUUCAGGAGGUGGCUGUGGGCUCGGGGGCGGGACGGCGGGCAGGGGGGGGAGGAGAGCCAUCCCCCUGUGGUGACUGCAUCCCCCGGGGUACCGCGAGCCCCGCCCGGCAGGUCCCGGGAAGGGCAGGUCAGCUCUCUGCACUCUGCGGGGAGGACGGUGGAAGGGCUGAGCCUGGGCGCCCCGUCUGCGGACCGGAGGCUGGGCCGUCUGUGGAGCACUUCUGCCGUCGGUUCACCCUCAGGGACCCCGGAAACGGAAGAAAAGUGAUGAGAAGCACUUUGAAACCGGUUUGGGAGGGAGGGAGAGGAGACUUGGUAAACAAGCCAAGGGGCAGAGGAGCAGGGGUCCCUGCGGCCUUGCAGCCCCGCCGCCGGAGGCGCAGGUUCCGGAGGGCCUGAGGUCCCUGACCGCAGCCACACACAGCCCUACCCUGAGUGGAGAGCAGCCCCCACAUCACAGGGGGCCACAUCGGGUCACCCACAGGGGGCACGCCUGACUCCCUCUCCCCGUCCUGCUGCAUGCAUGGCGUCUCCCCUCCAGCCGGGGGACCCUCAGCUGGUGCUCCCAAGCCUGACCCUCCUGCUGGCCUUGGGGUUCACCUCGGCACCUGGAGUCAGGAGCCGGCCGCGGCUGUGGGGGCAGAGCCGGGAGAGGUGGGAUGGGGGGGCGGGAGAACAGGUGUGCCAGGGAAGGUGGCACCCAGAGCCUGGCCCCAGGUUGGGAACCCCUGGGGACCCAUUGCAGGUGGUCAUUGCUGUUUAGGGGCAGUUUGGGGGCUGAACAGUCAAGCUGGGUCACUGGCCCGGGAGGCUGGGGUGCCCGGGUCACGGAGUACGUCUGUCUGGAGAGGCUACCCCCCGGCUGUGUGCUCUGUUCUUGCUGUCCAGGAGCACUGGCCUCUCCCAGGUGAAUAGUCUGCUGCGAGAGCAGCUGGAGCACAUGAA
ensembl:lncRNA